GUUAAAGGCUCCUCGUUUUGUAGAAUACCAUUUCGCUGUCUCCUUUCCAAAAAGGAAGACUAUUUCGCCGUCGUAGGCGGAGACGGAUGGCGGCGGCGGCUCCAGCUCCCUCUUGGGGGAACCCAAAACCUAAUGCUAGCCCUAACCCUACAUUCCACAAGCCCAAAUUCGUCGGCGCUCGAUCCUUGGCCCUUCCGAAGCGGAGCAGUAGCGGGUUCCGAUCGGAACUCACGAGCCCCGAUAUCUCGCCUGGGAGAAGCGGAGGGACCGUCCAUGUCUCCCGGAGCUCUCCUUCAUCUCUAAUGGCGGCCUCGGCGGCGGUGGCUUCCUCCGUUGCGUUGCCUCGGAAGAGGUCGCUGAAGAACGUUAUCCUCUUCUAUUGCGAGGAGAUGAGGGAGCUGGCCGAGCGCGUCGCAUCGGAAAGCGACACUAUCGAGCUCCGCAGCAUCAGUUGGAGGACAUUUGAGGAUGGAUUUCCCAACCUGUUCAUCUCAAAUGCUCAUGGCAUUCGUGGGCAGCAUGUAGCCUUUUUGGCCUCAUUUAGCUCCCCUGGAGUAAUUUUUGAGCAGUUAUCUAUUAUCUAUGCACUGCCAAGGUUGUUCAUCUCCUCAUUUACGGUUGUGCUUCCCUUCUUCCCAACUGGAUCUUAUGAGCGGAUGGAGGAGGAAGGAGAUGUAGCAACAGCCUUCACUCUCGCUAGAAUAUUGUCAAAUAUACCAAUAUCAAGAGGUGGACCGACUAGUUUAGUCAUAUUUGAUAUUCAUGCCUUACAGGAGAGAUUUUACUUUGGAGAUUAUGUCUUACCAUGCUUUGAGAGUGGCAUUCCUUUGCUUAAAAACAGGCUUCAGCUGCUACCUGAUUCUGAAAAUAUUUCUAUUGCUUUUCCAGAUGAUGGCUCAUGGAAGAGAUUUCAUAAGCAACUUCAGCAUUUCCCAGUGAUUAUCUGUAACAAAGUUAGGGAAGGUGACCAACGAUUUGUUCGUCUCAAGGAGGGAGAUCCUAGAGGCCGCCAUGUUGUGAUCGUUGAUGAUUUGGUGCAGUCAGGCGGUACUCUGAUUGAGUGCCAGAAAGUAUUGGCAGCUCAUGGAGCAGCAAAAAUCAGUGCUUAUGUGACUCAUGGUAUCUUCCCCAAUAGAUCAUGGCAGCGGUUUCAAUAUGAUAAUGGAGGAACCAGUUUAACACAGUGAGUUGGGUUAUUCGGAAACUUGUGAUAUCUCCUACAUGAGCAGAAUUUGGCUGCUGAAUCAAGAGUUGCCUCCCAGUCUUAUGGGUGAUAUACCACAUACAGUAUCUUCCCACCAACUUCAGCCUUCAGAUAUUUAAACCGAGUCUAGAAAACUUGAUUGUUACGGCUAGGUCAAUGCAUACACAGAGUUGCAAAAGCUUAUUCCUUAAGGCCAAGGCGUUGGGUCCAGAGAACGGGUUGAGCAACUUCUGGAUUACUGAUUCAUGCGCACUUACCGUGAAGGAGGUGAAAAAUAGACCUCCGUUUGAAGUCCUCAGCCUUGCCAGUGCUAUAGCUAUUUCCCUUCAGAUAUAGAUCUUUCAGUCGAGUUUUAUCAGCAUGAUUAAGCGCCUUUUUAAAAGCUUUUUUGUUGUUGUUGUAGAGUAUGUCAUAUUUUAAUCAAGCCUUUUGUUUGGGAGUUGAAUUUCCUUCAGCCACGGUACUGGUUUAUUACGGGUACUCAGAGUGGCGUGGACUUCUUGGACGAAAAUGGUGGAGUUCACGACUUGUUCCUAUAGCCCGUGUGGACAAUUCAGCCCAUUAAGCACUGUUGCAUUGGGAAAUUCUUUGUAUACCGCAGGCGGUGUAUAAAAUCUGAUAUGGAGUGCACUAUCUUGUCUGAUUGGGUUAUAUACCAACGUGCAUUUAAUAUUUGUAAGUUAAUUUUUUCAUUUUGUAUGACGAAAAUAUUUUUAUUUUUUUAAAAAAUUAUAAUAUUCUAUGUCCA